rnacentral:rRNA from 1 species
CUUCUCUUGAGAGCGGUGGACGGGUGAGUAAAGCCUAGGAAUCUGCCUGGUAGUGGGGGAUAACGUUCGGAAACGGACGCUAAUACCGCAUACGUCCUACGGGAGAAAGCAGGGGACCUUCGGGCCUUGCGCUAUCAGAUGAGCCUAGGUCGGAUUAGCUAGUUGGUGAGGUAAUGGCUCACCAAGGCGACGAUCCGUAACUGGUCUGAGAGGAUGAUCAGUCACACUGGAACUGAGACACGGUCCAGACUCCUACGGGAGGCAGCAGUGGGGAAUAUUGGACAAUGGGCGAAAGCCUGAUCCAGCCAUGCCGCGUGUGUGAAGAAGGUCUUCGGAUUGUAAAGCAC